GUUAGGGCCUCGACGGAGAUUUCCGGGCUUCCGGCUCCGACUCCUCCCCCCCUUUUGUGAACGUACCUCCUGUUUGCUUUGGCGGCUCCGGCCGCCAAAGGACCUCCAAACUCCAGUCAGUAAACGCAGACGUCUGAUAAACAAGUUAAUAAACUAAAACUUUCAACAACGGAUCUCUUGGUUCUGGCAUCGAUGAAGG
rnacentral:rRNA from 1 species